AAUGGCAGGUCAGCAUACUGCCGUGAAUACGUUCCCGGGCCUUGUACACACCGCCCGUCACACCAUGAGAGUUGGGAAUACCCGAAACCUGUGAGCUAACAUUAAGAGGCAGCAGUCGAAGGUAGAAUCAAUGAUUGGGGUGAAGUCGUAACAAGGUAAC
rnacentral:rRNA from 1 species